UACGGAGGAUGCGAGCGUUAUCCGGAUUUAUUGGGUUUAAAGGGUGCGUAGGCGGAACAUUAAGUCAGCGGUAAAAUCGAGGGGCUCAACCCCUUUAAGCCGUUGAAACUGCAUCCCUUGAGUGCGCGAGAAGUAUGCGGAAUGCGUGGUGUAGCGGUGAAAUGCAUAGAUAUCACGCAGAACGCCGAUUGCGAAGGCAGCAUACCGGCGCCCAACUGACGCUGAAGCACGAAAGCGUGGGUAUCGAACAGG
rnacentral:rRNA from 1 species